UGCGGAGAUCAUUACUGUGUGUUUGUGCGGCCUUCACCGGCCGCGCACUCCCACCCUUGUCUACCUUACCUGUUGCUUCGGCGGGCCUGCGGUUGGCCUGCGUGCCGCCGCUGCCGGGGGGCCUUUUCGGUCCCCGGGCGCGCUGCCCGCCGAAGGAAACUGAACUCCAGUCGAAGAUUGAAGUCUGAGAUAGAUUGAGAAAUAACUCAAAACUUUCAACAACGGAUCUCUUGGUUCCGACAUCGAUGAAGAACGCAGCGAAAUGCGAUAAGUAAUGUGAAUUGCAGAAUUCCGUGAAUCAUCGAAUCUUUGAACGCACAUUGCGCCCUCUGGUAUUCCGGGGGGCAUGCCUGUCCGAGCGUCAUUGCAACCCUCAAGCACGGCUUGUGUGUUGGGCGAUCGUCCUGUCCGUGAGGCGGGACGCACCCGAAAGGCAGUGACGGCGUCGUGAUCCGGUGCCCGAGCGCAUGGAACUUGAACCCGCUCGUGAGGCCUGGCCGACCGUCGGUCCAACCAUCUACUACUUCCAGUGGUUGACCUCGGAUCAGGUAGGGAUACCCGCUGAACUUAAGCAUAUCAAUAAGCGGAGGAAAAGAAACCAACAGGGAUUGCCUCAGUAACGGCGAGUGAAGCGGCAAAAGCUCAAAUUUGAAAUCUGGC
rnacentral:misc_RNA from 1 species